rnacentral:rRNA from 1 species
UACGUAGGGUGCAAGCGUUGUCCGGAAUUAUUGGGCGUAAAGAGCUCGUAGGCGGUCUGUCGCGUCGGCUGUGAAAACUCGGGGCUCAACCCCGAGCCUGCAGCCGAUACGGGCAGACUAGAGUUCGGUAGGGGAGACUGGAAUUCCUGGUGUAGCGGUGAAAUGCGCAGAUAUCAGGAGGAACACCGAUGGCGAAGGCAGGUCUCUGGGCCGAUACUGACGCUGAGGAGCGAAAGCGUGGGGAGCGAACAGG